ensembl:lncRNA
AAACAUUUAUUUCAUUUUGAUGUUAUUCGUGAAAUAUGACAUCAGUGAUGUCUUUAUCAUAUAAAACUAAGUCUUGAUUUCUCAAGAGUUUAUAUAGCCAUUUCUUUUCUGUGGUCCUGAGAAGUGUAAUGUCAGUGCCAUGUACAGUUGUGGACCAGCCUGGCCCGGAGGCUGGGGAUAGACUGUUGUUUGUUCCUCAUGUCCCCACAUACACAUCUACAGAUUACAUCAAAGCUAUGUCGUCCCGCCACUCAUACAGCUGACAAAACAGCUUUGUUGUGGUUUCCUCUGUAGUUCGUUUUUAGUUUGUUCAUUGUUCAAGUGGUACAUUUGAUCAUCUGUUUACAGUUACAACAGAAACCUGACUUGGGCAGAUGUUUUGUUUUGUCUAAGAGCCAAGGGUUUUGUAUUUAAUGCAACAAUACUUGUUGGUUAUAACAUGGAGCACUUCAGUUGCUGUCGUUUUGUUUUUGUUCCCUCUUUUAUUUCCAUCUGCGGAAGCUUUUGUCAGUUUUAUAUUUCAAAGUGGCCAAAUCAGAGAAGUGUAACUUUUUAUUUUGACAAUAUAUUCAAACGUUCCUCAUUGUACAAGCUGUGACAGCUUUUAAACCCUUUUAAAUCCACCAUUUGAAUUGUUGGGGCCAAUAGGUCAAUGUAGAGAAUAAGGUUGGGUCUAACACCCUUAUCUGUACAUUAUAUUAUAUUGAAUUUGCCCAUACAAAUCUGCCCUUACAAAUCUGUUAUCUUGGCAAUAUUUGACAGAAUAGUGUUUUUAAAUGCUUUAAUUGUGUUGCAUUGAGAUGUAAUGUGUCCAGUUACAAUACUAUACAUAGUUUUUGCCCUGUACUCUUAGCACAACAGGUAUCACUUCAUAUAAUCUAUUUGGCCCAAGUUUUUUUACUUUUUGUGCUAGUUUUGCUGUUGCAUGUGUAUCAUGAAGCUUUUUGAGCUUCCUAAAAAGUAUAAAUGUAUAUUGAAACAACUCAAAAGGCCUGCAUAGCCUGUUAGCAGUAUUAUUUCUUUAUUCAAAGCCACUUUCAUCUCUUCUCAGUAACUUACACAGUACAAACUGUGGAGGACAUCUGCCUUGUAUCAUCCGGUCCUGAAUUUCAUGUCCAGUUGCAGUCUAACAGAGAUUCAACUCCUACUACUUCUCUUGACUGAACUAACUGUGAAAUUAAGGGAAGUGUAAUUGUUUAAUUGAUGCAGUAUAGUGUUUACUUAAUUUAUCUAUGCAUUGUGAUAUGGGUAAUGAUUUGUUUUCAGGGGUGUAUAAUUCUGAAUGUCAGCCACAAAUGUCCAUAGAUUUUUACAUAAAAAUGUACCAUCUAAUAAUUCACUCACCAAUAUGUACAAACAGGUUUCUUGCAUAUGAUCAUUGUUUGUACCUAGUUUGGUGUUAUCUAAUCAUUCUGUUUCUGUGGCAAACAUUGGAAUCAGCUGUUUGUUCACCAUGCAUUGUUUCCCCAAAUGUGGACAGUUAUAUGUAAGUAAUUAACUAAUUAGCCUUAAAAUGUCUUAAUUUACCUCUUAAAAUUGUGAAGUGAAGUUUUUAUUUUAUUAAUUGUCAGAAGGCAAUAAUCUGUAGAUAUCUACAGCCAUUACAUAUUCUUGGGUUUUACUGAUUUGCCUUUUGGUGUUUAAAAUCAAAAUUUUUUGGGAGGGGGGAUUUUUCACCCUGGCGGUGGGGAAACGGCUAGACAGUGAUUGCUAGCUGUGGGAAAGUUCUGAAAUGUACCACUAAAAAGGCUUUACCUAAGACGUAUUCAUACAAUAUUCAAUUUUGAAAGUCUGCUUACAUAUGUACAAAUACCAUUUUGUUUCUCUUCAUGUAUAAUUUUCUGUAUAGAUUGAUGUAUUUGUGUUGGUGAUAAAGGGAUUGGCUUCUGAAGUCAGUAUGUUGAGAUGGGUCUUGUCCAGAAUCAAGCCCUUGUCCUUAUCCCUUAGGUACUUGCAUUGAUCUGGAAUGAUUGGAUAGAUAAACCAAAAUGGCAGAGGAACUACAACCAUAUACCUAUUAUUUGAUACAUUUAGUGCCUAGGGGUACCAGAUUAUUUUUGAUCACCAUCAUCAAGUGGAGAUGCAGUGGCUGUUUCUAGGCUCUCUAAAGCUUUAGCUGUACAAUGAUAUUUAUUUCACCCCAUGGUUUGUACAAAGACUCAGAAAUACUGUCUGAAUGUAAAGGCCAUUGACUGGUAGAUAUUUAGAUUUUACAACCUUAACCUAAUAUCAAAUUUUAUUGAAAUCUUUUGAGAUCGGUGUGUAAAAAAGCACUAAUUUCUUUUAUAUUUUGUAUUGUUUUGAAGUUUCAAUGGAAAAAGUUAUAACAGUAAAGAAAAUAACUUUUAUGAAUAAUAUCCAUAAGAAAUAUAGACAAUCAACACAUUUAUU